rnacentral:lncRNA from 1 species
GGCAAUUGGCAUGCAUCUUGGCCUUGGCCACCUUGCCUUGCGUGAUCGUUGUUUGUUUUUAUUUGUGCUUUUUAAGAAUUUUUUUUAAUUCGGAUACUUUUAUAAUAACUUUAAUAGUAUUAUUAACAUAGUGCAUAAAAUCAGUUGGAGUAGCAGAAGCAAUGUAGAUAAAAAAUCUGCAGGAAUAACGUUUCAAAGCUUUCCAGAAGAUCCUGCGAAGAAGGCAUGAAGUAUUGAUCAGAUUUGUUAAUAGAGCAGUAUGUUCAAAACAUUUUUUAGAAAAAGAUGUUGACAGAACUUCACUUUCAACUGUUCGUUUGAGAGACUGUGCUGUUCCAAUAGCUUAUAUCACACAGAAUCAGCUGAGAGAAGUGGUCUACAAAAAACCAGGAAGGAAAUGGAAUAUGUGGCUAUGAAAGGCAAAAGAAAGGUUUACAAAGCAAAUGUGACACAUUUUUUUAUAGGAAUAUCAGUAAAUUACAUUAAAAAAAUGUAUGAAAAGAUUUUUUGCAAUAAAAAUGUUUAUAUUUAUCAAGGAUGUAUUAUUUGGUAUGGCCACAUAUCGUCAGUGAUGUGA